GAAAAUGGCUGGAUUGGAAAAUUGUCCAAACAGGCCAAAGAUAGUUGUGCCGAGCUCGUGGGGUUGCAUCCAAAAGACCUUGAGGCUGUAAUUUCCGCCAAAGCGGACAUGUCAAAGCACGAUGACCUGCGGCGUUUGCAUGCGUCCGAACCCCCCAGGGGGAACAGGGCCGACUGCUGGCUUUGUCUCCCAGCGUUCGCUAAUCAAACCUUGAUGAAAUGCCUAUUAAUGGGCCCUGGUGGCAGGCCGUUGAGGUAAUCAGGCAAAUUAAUAAAACAUCCCCAAGUGGAAAGCGAGGCUCCCCGGAGGAGGCCGAGCAGAUGGAGUCAAAGAGCAGCCGGCGUUUUGGCGAUGAGCUCCAAAUUGGUAAUUCGAUCGGGCCUCCUGCUUCACGUGGGUCACGUGGGCAGGAAGUACCUGGAGGUGGAUCUGCCACAGAGCGUUGAACGGAUCGAUGGACACAAAGGCGCAACUGCCACACGCCCGUUGCCGUCCAUGAUAUGACCACACCUAUGUUCAUUUUGAGAUUUCGAAUCAGAAUAGCAUUAUUGUCUUUGUACCGCAGGGUGCAACGAAAUGGAAGAGACGCAGGCCUGAUGACGUAUUCGUCUGAGUCUGGUGCAGUCCAUUUUUAAAUACACUACUUGCAUUGAAUAAUACACUUGCAUGUAAUCGCAGCGCUGCCCCCUGCCUUCCGGUCAGGGGGGAGCGCGGUCAGUACCCUGAUGCCAUUGUCCUGCUCGCAUCCCCCCACUCUGCUCUGAGGUGACACCCCGUCAAAGAAUCCUGUGGCGGAGGGAGCCGGGUGAGGCAGCGUGCUCGGGCCUCGACGGACAUCAGCCGUGAUGGAUGACUCGACGCCCUCGUGGUUGCAGCGGCGGACUCCCGGCCGGGCCGCUGGCCCGCCCGGUUCGAGAGCUGGAGGAGCAGAUGGAGCGUCUGCUGCGUGGGAGAGCAGACUCCAUCAAGUGGUGGCGCUAAUCAAGACAGAGGACUUAUUACUAGACCCGUCUUUGUGUCUUUUGUCAGCAAGGCCAUCUUGUGGGAAAGGCCCGUCUCGUGCCGUACUGCCCACAUGUGUCUCCAGCGUCCCUCCGCACUUUGUCCUCGCUUCCUGUCUGACAUGAAGUCGGACUGCAAAACUUAGACCUCCAUGUUUCCUGAGCUCCUAGCCCCACCGCCCGCAGCCGCCGUCCGCGCCAAGCGCCGCCCGCCGGGGUCUGGCCACGUUGGAGCUGACGAAAGCGCGCGUGAAGAUGCCCGACGUGCUGUUGCCAGUCGACCUCACGUUCCAGCGUCAUCCGCCAUCCAGAACCCGCAAUCCCUCCGCUUUAAGCCCGAGGGACCGCAUUCUCCGAACUCUGUUGCGGUGAAUUCUGGACCGGCUAACGCGGGCCGUCUGUCCAGUCCUCUAGCUGCCUCCACAGACGCUGGCCCACCGUUGGACCUCCAUGGUGGUCUCUCCGGCCCCCGUCGCUUGCCCGUGCUGGAUCCCAUUCCCCCCCUGAAAGGGCUGACGGCGUUGACGGUGGGUUGCCAGUUGGGGAAUCUGGGCUCGCUGUCGCGCGUGCGGCUCCUGCCGCUGCAACGGAGAGCGCACUCCACACGGUGGCGGCCGACCGGGGCGACCACUUCCUCCCCGGUCCAAUGGGGUCUCCUGAGUCUUCGUGGAAGGUCCCGGAAGGUGACGAGUCGGACUGGUCCAUGGGAGGUUGCGGAUCUCCUUCAUCUUGCCACAUGAAGCCAAGUCCAUCACGUGACAGUUGGUCAUCCGGGUCCUGGCCCGAACAAGGUUCCGACGUCAGACUUGCGGGUCUUCAGGACCAAACGAUGACACAUGAAGGAGAGGAGCCGGAUGUGGGACUGGAGUGCGGAGGCCAGCAAGAACAAAGUCCUCACCAUGCUCUCCAAGAUGCAGGAGCCCUCCCAGUGCAUCCCCGCUAACGCUCGCGUCUGCUCCGACUUUGAUGACCGAAGACUCCGACGCCGAUGGUUACAUCUCGUGCAUCCAAGUGGUGGACGCCCUCAAGCGAAUUGUCGCGGCCGAGCUCCUGUCUGACGAGGAGGAGAUCGCCGGGAUGGAUGACUUCAUGAGGUCGCUGGUCACCAACGUGGACUUUCGCUCCCUCGAAGUACGACUCUUCAAAGUCAAAGUAACAAACACAUGGCCGCCAAUUUUGGCCCGCCCUUCUCGGCAAUAUUGGCCGGCGCCACAACCCGACUGCAAAAUGUGCCGAUUAACCUGACCUGGCUGGUCAUCUUGGCUUACCCGAGCCUUGGCUUACCAGGCAUGCCUCGUCUCCACCUUGACUCGGCCGUUCUGACCUAGCCCGCAUCGCGACUCGCAACCUUGGCCUGCUUUGCGCCUCGACCCCACUCGCCGUUGACCUAGUCUGCACCUCGAGUCAGCAAAAGUGUCUGAUUCACUGAUUGCGAGGGCAUCCCCUGUGCGCGCGCCCCCCUUUGGUUCAAUUGGAAUGGAAUUUAGGUCAGGGCUUUGGCUGGGUUGGGUCUUCUGUUUACGUU